UUGAANUGGGGGCACCCUGAUCCAGCGACGCCGCGUGUGUGAAGAAGGCCUGCGGGUUGUAAAGCACUUUUAGUGGGGAUGAAAAGCUCAGGGCUAAUACCCUUGGGUCUUGACCUAACCUACAGAAAAAGCACCGGCUAACUCUGUGCCAGCAGCCGCGGUAAUACAGAGGGUGCGAGCGUUAAUCGGAAUUACUGGGCGUAAAGCGUGCGUAGACGGUUUCGUAAGUCGGGUGUGAAAUCCCCGGGCUCAACCUGGGAAUUGCAUUCGAGACUGCGAAGCUAGGGUGCGGAAGAGGGAAGCGGAAUUUCCGGUGUAGCGGUGAAAUGCGUAGAUAUCGGAAGGAACAUCAGUGGCGAAAGCGGCUUCCUGGUCCAGCACCGACGUUCAGGCACGAAAGCGUGGGGAGCAAACAGGAUUAGAUACCCUGGUAGUCCACGCCAUAAACGAUGAGAACUAGACGUUGAGAGGGUAAGCCUCCCAGUGUCGCAGCUAACGCGCUAAGUUCUCCGCCUGGGGAGUACGGCCGCAAGGUUGAAACUCAAAAAAAUUGACGGA
rnacentral:rRNA from 1 species